GCCCCCAUAACUCAAUGGUAGAGUAGCUGCCUUUUAAGCAGCAAAUCUAGGUUCGAUUCCUAGUGGGGGCA
rnacentral:tRNA from 1 species